rnacentral:rRNA from 1 species
UGGGGAAUUUUGGACAAUGGGCGCAAGCCUGAUCCAGCCAUGCCGCGUGCGGGAAGAAGGCCUUCGGGUUGNAAACCGCUUUUGUCAGGGAAGAAAUCUUCUGAGUUAAUACCUCGGGAGGAUGACGGUACCUGAAGAAUAAGCACCGGCUAACUACGUGCCAGCAGCCGCGGUAAUACGUAGGGUGCAACGUUAAUCGGAAUUACUGGGCGUAAAGCGUGCGCAGGCGUUUUGUAAGGCAGAGUGAAUCCGCGUCGACCUGGGAACUGCCUUUUGUGACUGNAAGGCUUGAGUGCGGCAGAGGGGGAUGGAAUUCCGCGUGUAGCAGUGAAAUGCGUAGAUAUGCGGAGGAACACCGAUGGCGAAGGCAAU